GAUGAACGCUGGCGGCGUGCCUAAUACAUGCAAGUCGAGCGAACGGACGAGAAGCUUGCUUCUCUGAUGUUAGCGGCGGACGGGUGAGUAACACGUGGAUAACCUACCUAUAAGACUGGGAUAACUUCGGGAAACCGGAGCUAAUACCGGAUAAUAUUUUGAACCGCAUGGUUCAAUAGUGAAAGACGGUCUUGCUGUCACUUAUAGAUGGAUCCGCGCUGCAUUAGCUAGUUGGUAAGGUAACGGCUUACCAAGGCAACGAUGCAUAGCCGACCUGAGAGGGUGAUCGGCCACACUGGAACUGAGACACGGUCCAGACUCCUACGGGAGGCAGCAGUAGGGAAUCUUCCGCAAUGGGCGAAAGCCUGACGGAGCAACGCCGCGUGAGUGAUGAAGGUCUUCGGAUCGUAAAACUCUGUUAUUAGUGAAGAACAUAUGUGUAAGUAACUGUGCACAUCUUGACGGUACCUAAUCAGAAAGCCACGGCUAACUACGUG
rnacentral:rRNA from 1 species